UUUGGAUUUUGGAAUAAUAUACCAAUAUACUACAAUUUAUUUUAAUUAUAUACUGUUUCUGCAUGAAAGAAGAAUAUAGAAGUCCUCCUAUCUAACUUACGAAGAUCAUCUAUAUAUACAGGUAUUGCAAAAUAAUACAUCGUUAAAAUUUCGAAUGAACACUAUUAGUAAGGCUGGUUUUCAUUUAUUAACUUUGCCAGCAUAAAAUUACGCCAAUAACAAUUUAAAAUUACAACAACAAAUUAGUGCAUGUGGCUGGAUCACCGCAAUAGUUUAUUGCCAUUUACUGCAGGCCCAAAUAGUCAGCAACACUCGCCGUUGUCGGUUCUGUUUCAGUAUUAACCACCUAUCGUAAUUCUUCGGCAAUUACUAUCACAAUUAAUCAAAAAAUUUGUUUUGUUGUGGUAGUCGCAAACACUCUGCAAUAAUAAAACAAAUGAAAACAUUAUUCGCGAGUUGUUGGCCACAAUCAAAAUAAUUGCCGACGUCAUUUGCCAAUUUGCUACUUUGCCUUGGCAAGUUAAUUUUCUGCUAAGGAUCGAACAUGAUGCAAUUACUUCUGCACACCUCAGCAACAACUUUACCCUAUGUGCCAGAGCCUCUUGUGAUAGAAGUGAGGACACUACGAGGAGGCUCUGGUCACACGAGCAUCCAGCCUCACUUUGGUGAGUUCAAUAUGUGAACUCUGUUUGUGAUUGGUCUAAAUUUAUGUGUAGGGGUGCACCGGAUUUGGAAUUUUCAAAUCCGGCCGGAACCGGAUUUGGACAAAAAUUCCGGCCGGAAUUCCGGCCGGAUUUGAGAUAAACCGGUAAUGGGGACAAUUGGGGAUAAAUCAGUAUUCAAAAUGACGGUUUAUGUUUUUUACUAUUUUUAGUUAGUGUCA